rnacentral:rRNA from 1 species
ACGGGAGGCAGCAGUGAGGAAUAUUGGUCAAUGGGCGGAAGCCUGAACCAGCCAAGUCGCGUGAAGGAUGAAGGUAUUAUGUAUUGUAAACUUCUUUAGACGUAGAGAAAUAAGGCGCUCGUGAGCGCUGAUGCUAGUAUACGUAGAAUAAGGAUCGGCUAACUCCGUGCCAGCAGCCGCGGUAAUACGGAGGAUCCGAGCGUUAUCCGGAUUUAUUGGGUUUAAAGGGUGCGCAGGCGGCGCUUUAAGUCAGCGGUUAAAUAGUGAGGCUCAACCUCAUCCCGCCGUUGAUACUGGAGCGCUUGAUUGCGGUCGAGGUUGGCGGAAUUCGUCGUGUAGCGGUGAAAUGCAUAGAUAUGACGAAGAACACCGAUUGCGUAGGCAGCUGACCAGGCCGUAAAUGACGCUCAUGCACGAAAGAGCGGGGAUCGAACAGGAUUAGAUACCCUGGUA